rnacentral:lncRNA from 1 species
CAUUUUCGUUUUCCUCCCAAAAUAACCCAAACUGAAACACGUUAAGCAAGUAUGAUAAAUGCUAGAACUCAAAAUGAUAGCAGAAAGCAAAUUUAUAUACUUUAUUCAUAGUCUUUGUAUGUUCAAGGUACAGAAAAGGAAUUUAUAGUAAAUUAUAACAAAUACAGUUAUUCAUAGUAAAUGUAUGUAAGUAUGUACAGAAAUAUAUCCGCAGUGACCGCCGUUGAUUAUAAACCAUAGGCGGAUCCCAUUGGGGGCCUGGAGGUCCUGCCCCCGUUUUCGUUGAAAAAAAAUUGUUGAUUAUAUGGGGAAUCACUGAAGCAUGAGAGGAACGCCCCCCCCCCCUUUUAGGUCAGUCAGUGCCCCCCUCCCUUAUGAAAAGUUCUGGAUCCGCCACUGUAAACUAAUUGAUAGUAAAUAGCAAAUAUUAUUCAUUUUCGUUUUCCUCCCACAAUAACCCAAACUGAAACACGUUAAGCAAGGAUGAUACAUGCUAGAACUCAAAAUGACAGCAGAAAGCAAAUUUAUAUACUUUAUUCAUAGUCUUUGUAUGUUCAAAGUACAGAAAAAUACAAACCGGAAGUCUAAUCUGACUUAAAGUUUUGUCCAAUGACGGGAAAAUAUCCGGACGCAUUCUUUUUCGUUUUUAUCCCAAAAUAACCCCAACUGAAUGAUCAUAAGAAUGGAUGACAAAUGCGACUAUACAUGUUACCUAUAGGACACAGAGACAUGAUGAUUAAUUUAUUGUGGAAGGAGGAGAAGCGACACCCAAAAUGAGGUCUUCUCGUUUAAUAGUAUAGAUAUAC